GUCAGUUUAGCCUAGUGGUUGGGGUGCUGUAUGUGUGAGGCAGAGGUGGUGGGUUCGAACCCCCACUGUCG
rnacentral:tRNA from 1 species